CACAUGCAAGUCGAGGGGAAACGACAUCGAAAGCUUGCUUUUGAUGGGCGUCGACCGGCGCACGGGUGAGUAACGCGUAUCCAACCUGCCCACCACUUGGGGAUAACCUUGCGAGAGUAAGACUAAUACCCAAUGAUAUCUCUAGAAGACAUCUGAAAGAGAUUAAAGAUUUAUCGGUGAUGGAUGGGGAUGCGUCUGAUUAGCUUGUUGGCGGGGUAACGGCCCACCAAGGCGACGAUCAGUAGGGGUUCUGAGAGGAAGGUCCCCCACAUUGGAACUGAGACACGGUCCAAACUCCUACGGGAGGCAGCAGUGAGGAAUAUUGGUCAAUGGACGAGAGUCUGAACCAGCCAAGUAGCGUGCAGGAUGACGGCCCUAUGGGUCGUAAACUGCUUUUAUAAGGGAAUAAAGUGAGUCUCGUGAGACUUUUUGCAUGUACCUUAUGAAUAAGGACCGGCUAAUUCCGUGCCAGCAGCCGCGGUAAUACGGAAGGUCCGGGCGUUAUCCGGAUUUAUUGGGUUUAAAGGGAGCGUAGGCCGGAGAUUAAGCGUGUUGUGAAAUGUAGACGCUCAACGUCUGCACUGCAGCGCGAACUGGUUUCCUUGAGUACGCACAAAGUGGGCGGAAUUCGUGGUGUAGCGGUGAAAUGCUUAGAUAUCACGAAGAACUCCGAUUGCGAAGGCAGCUCACUGGAGCGCAACUGACGCUGAAGCUCGAAAGUGCGGGUAUCGAACAGGAUUAGAUACCCUGGUAGUCCGCACGGUAAACGAUGGAUGCCCGCUGUUGGUCUGAAUAGGUCAGCGGCCAAGCGAAAGCAUUAAGCAUCCCACCUGGGGAGUACGCCGGCAACGGUGAAACUCAAAGGAAUUGACGGGGGCCCGCACAAGCGGAGGAACAUGUGGUUUAAUUCGAUGAUACGCGAGGAACCU
rnacentral:rRNA from 1 species